rnacentral:tRNA from 1 species
GGGGUUGUGGCUCAAUGGUAGAGCACUUGCCUACCAUGUGUGAGGCACUGGGUUCAAUUCUCAGCACCA